UGAGCAUCAGUGAUGAGUAGCUUCCUUAUGUUAUCCUUGCACUUUGAUUGCCCGUGAAGAAAUCUAUGGGGACUGUUGACUCUGAGAUGCUU